rnacentral:rRNA from 1 species
CAGUAGCCACGGUAAUACGUAGGGUGCAAGCGUUAAUCGGAAUUACUGGGCGUAAAGCGUGCGCAGGCGGUUAUGUAAGACAGUUGUGAAAUCCCCGGGCUCAACCUGGGAACUGCAUCUGUGACUGCAUAGCUAGAGUACGGUAGAGGGGGAUGGAAUUCCGCGUAUAGCAGUGAAAUGCGUAGAUAUGCGGAGGAACACCGAUGGCGAAGGCAAUCCCCUGGACCUGUACUGACGCUCAUGCACGAAAGCGUGGGGAGCAAACAGGAUUAGAUACCCCCGUAGUCCCUGUCUCUUAUAC